ensembl:piRNA 21ur-2106 ncRNA
UCGUAUUGUUGGAUUAUAAUU